rnacentral:rRNA from 1 species
AUUGAACGCUGGCGGCAGGCCUAACACAUGCAAGUCGAGCGGAUGAAGGGAGCUUGCUCCUGGAUUCAGCGGCGGACGGGUGAGUAAUGCCUAGGAAUCUGCCUGGUAGUGGGGGAUAACGUCCGGAAACGGGCGCUAAUACCGCAUACGUCCUGAGGGAGAAAGUGGGGGAUCUUCGGACCUCACGCUAUCAGAUGAGCCUAGGUCGGAUUAGCUAGUUGGUGGGGUAAAGGCCUGCCAAGUCGACGAUCCGUAACUGGUCUGAGAGGAGGAUCAGUCACACUGGAAGUGAGACACGGUCCAGACUCCUACGGGAGGCAGCAGUGGGGAAUAUUGGACAAUGGGCGAAAGCCUUAUCCAGCCAUGCCGCGUGUGUGAAGAAGGUCUUCGGAUUGUAAAGCACUUUAAGUUGGGAGGAAGGGCAGUAAGUUAAUACCUUGCUGUUUUGACGUUACCAACAGAAUAAGCACCGGCUAACUUCGUG